rnacentral:rRNA from 1 species
AUACGGAGGAUGCGAGCGUUAUCCGGAUUUAUUGGGUUUAAAGGGUGCGCAGGCGGCGUGUCAAGUCAGCGGUCAAAAUGCGGCGCUCAACGCCGUACCGCCGUUGAAACUGGCAUGCUCGAGUUCGUGCGAGGAUGGCGGAAUGCGCGGUGUAGCGGUGAAAUGCAUAGAUAUCGCGCAGAACUCCGAUUGCGAAGGCGGCUGUCCAGCACUCGACUGACGCUCAUGCACGAAUGCGUGGGUAGCGAACAGGAUUAGAUACCCUGGUAGUCCACGCGGUAAACGAUGAUAACUAGUUAUUCGGCGCGAGUGAGCGCUGAGUGACCGAGCGAAAGCGUUAAGUUAUCCACCUGGGGAGUACGCCGGCAACGGUGAAACUCAAAUGAAUUGACGGGG